AUGGCCCGUGGAGUGGACCCUGGCUGGGUUUGUGGCGCCGCCGCCGCGUGGGCUAGCUGCGUCGGGGGGCAGGAAGGAGGCGGCGAGUGCGGAAACGGCUCGACAUGGCGCAGCGACAUUGGGAGGACGAUGAGGAGGAACGGACGGAUACGAGGGACGAACGGGGGUCCCUGGGCGGGGUCGCCUCGCCGUCUUCGGCGGCCGUGGUGA
rnacentral:rRNA from 1 species